AUGGCGUACCGAGUGCUGGAGGUCACGCUCCUGUCAGCCAAGGACCUGAAGAGCGUGAACCUCAUCACGCGCAUGGAGGUGUACGCGGUUGCGACCAUCUCCGGCGACCCCAUCACGCGCCAGUGCACCCCGCCGGACCCCCACGGCGGCCGCAACCCGACCUGGAACGCCACGCUCCAGUUCGCCGUGCCGCCCACCGCCGAGGAGGCCACGGGCGGCUGCCUCCACAUCCUCCUCCGCGUCGAGCGUAUCUUCGGCGGCGACCGCGACGUCGGCGAGGUCAUCGUGCCCCUCUCGGAGAUCCUCUCCGGCGUCGGGCACGGCGCCGACUACGGGGCCCACAGCAUGCCCCAGUUCGCGUCCUACCAGAUCCGCAAGGUGCACCGCACCGAGGUGCGCGGCUUGCUCUACCUCACGUAUCGUCUCGGCCCCAUCGUCCUGCCGGAGCCCCAUCUGGAGAUACCCGUCGACGAGUGGCCGGUCGUGGCGUACCCGGUGAAGCAGGUGAUGCCGCCGCCGCCGCCUCCACCGCAGGCUGCCUGGCCCGGGUAUGUGGCCGCGGCACCGCCGGCGAAACCACCUGCCGGCUACGUGGCUGUGCCGCCUGCAAAAUCAGCCGGCUACUUGGAUGUGCCGUUUUCGCCUGAGAGAGCACCCGGGCAUACGGCCUGGCCUGCGCCUCCGAAACCACCGGUGCCAUCGCCGGCAAAGCAAGAAGGGCAUGCCGCCGUGCCGCCGUCUCCCAAACCUUCCUGGUACGGGACCGCGCCAUCGCCGGCAAAGCAAGAAGGGCAUGCCGCCGUGCCGCCGUCUCCCAAACCUUCUGGGUACGGGACCGCGCCAUCGCCUGCAAAGCAAGAAGGUCAUGUCGCCGUGCCGCCGUCUCCGAAUCCUUAUGGGUACGGGACCGCGCCAUCGCCUGCAAAGCAAGAAGGGCAUGACGCGGUGCCGCCGUCUCCGAAACCUUCUUGGUACGGGACCGCGCCGUCGCCUGCAAAGCAAGGAGGACAUGUCGCCGUGCCGCCGUCUGCUGAACCAUCCGGUCGGGUGGUGUCCAUGCCGCCUUCUCCCAAACCAGUCGGACGUGUGGUGUCUAUGCCACCGUCUACUCCGAAACCAUCCGGUCAGGUGGUGACCAUGCCGCCUUCUCCAAAGCCAGCGGAACGUGCGGUGUCCAUGCCACCGUCUCAGAAACCGGUCGAACGUGCGGUGUCCAUGCCGCCGUCUCAGAAACUGGCCGGGCCUGCGGUGUCCAUGCCGCCGUCUCCGAAACCGGUCGACCGUGUGGUGUCCAUGCCGCCGUCUCAGAAACUGGCCGGGCAUGUGAAACCGGCGGGGCAUGUGGUGUCUAUGCCGCCGCCGCCUCCGAAACCAGUUGAACGUGUGGUGUCCAUGCCACCGUCUCAGAAACCGGCCGGAAAUGUGGUGUCCAUGCCGCCGCCGCCGCCGAAACCAGUCGAACGUGCGGUGUCCAUGCCGCCGUCUCAGAAACCAGUCGGGCGUGUGGCGUCCACGCCGCCGUCUCCAAAGCCAACCGAGCAGCACGUGCCCUUGCCGCCGUCUACAAAACCAGCGGCACAAGUGGCCCCGCCACCGUCUCCCAAACCUUCUGGGUACGAGGCCGUGCCUUCUCCGAAACCAGCUGCACAUGUGGCAGUGCCGCCGUCCCCAAAACCAUCGGGUCAUUACACCGUGCCGCCGUCUCCGACACCGGCCGGACAUGUCGCCAUGCCGUCGCCGUCUCCGAAACCAUCCGUUCAUGCUGUGCCGCCAUCUCCAAAACCAGUCACGAAUGUGGCUGUGCCGCCGUCUCCAAAGCCAUCCGGCGGGCAUGUGUCCAUGCCGCCGUCUCCGGCACCAUACGGCCAGGUGGUGUCCAUGCCGCCGUCUCCAGCACCAUACGGCCAGGUGGUCUCCAUGCCGCCUGCUCCAAAACCAGCCGCCCCUGUGGUUGUGUCGCCGCCUCCAAAACCAGCCAACUUGCCGGCAGAUCACAACCCCAGCAUGGAGUUCGGGUGGGGGCUGGGCGCCGGCCUGGUCAGCGGCGCAAUCAGCGGGAUGCUGGCCGGCGGCAACAAAGGAGAACCGACGGCGUAUGCACCACAAGUCGCACCACUCGCCCGCAGUCGUCAAGUGUCUGUGUCUAAGACGUACGGCAGAGAUGUUUACACGCACUAG
rnacentral:rRNA from 1 species